rnacentral:rRNA from 1 species
UCCGGUGACAAAAGCGGAGGGGAAACACCUGUUACCAUUCUGAACACAGCAGUUAAGUCCUCCAGCGCCUAUGGUACUGCAGAGGCGACUCUGUGGGAGAGUAGGUCGUUGCCGGAU